rnacentral:rRNA from 1 species
CGGCCGCGUCGACAUUGGAAACGAUAGCUAAUACCGCAUAACAAUGGAUGACACAUGUCAUUUAUUUGAAAGGGGCAAUUGCUCCACUACAAGAUGAGCCCGCGGCCUAUCAGCUAGUUGGUGAGGUAAUGGCUCACCAAGGCGACGACGGGUAGCCGGCCUGAGAGGGCGACCGGCCACACUGGGACUGAGACACGGCCCAGACUCCUACGGGAGGCAGCAGGUGGGGAAUUAUUGCGCAAGUGGGACGAAAGCCUGACGCAGCAACGCCGCGUGCGGGAUCAAGGCCGUUCGGGUUAGUAAACCGUCUUUCAGCGAGGGAAGAAGACGAAAGUGACGGUACCUGCAGAAGAAGCACCGGCUAACUACGUGCCAGCAGCCGCGGUAAUACGUAGGGUGCAAGCGUUGUCCGGAUGUCGACGCGGCCG